rnacentral:rRNA from 1 species
CUGUGACUCCUACGGGGAGGCAGCAGUGGGGAAUAUUGCACAAUGGGGGAAACCCUGAUGCAGCCAUGCCGCGUGUGUGAAGAAGGCCUUCGGGGUUGUAAAGCACUUUCAGUAGGGAGGAAGGUAGUGUAGUUAACACCUGCAUUAUUUGACGUUACCUACAGAAGAAGCACCGGCUAACUCCGUGCCAGCAGCCGCGGUAAUACGGAGGGUGCGAGCGUUAAUCGGAAUUACUGGGCGUAAAGCGCAUGCAGGCGGCCUGUUAAGUCAGAUGUGAAAGCCCGGGGCUUAACCUCGGAAUUGCAUUUGAAACUGGCAGGCUAGAGUCUUGUAGAGGGGGGUAGGAAUUUCAGGUGUAGCGGUGAAAUGCGUAGAGAUCUGAAGGAAUACCAGUGGCGAAGGCGGCCCCCUGGACAAAGACUGACGCUCAGAUGCGAAAGCGUGGGGAGCAAACAGGAUUAGAUACCCUGGUAG